GGAGGACCUGGAAGUCCUGCGUGGGCAUAUUAGUCAUCUCAGACUACCAAUCAAGAGGACCACGGAGUACCACGGAGUAGGAGCCCAAAGCCAGGGUCAAUGUCAGCAUAGCUGAGAUGCUUUAACAUUUGCUUUCUGACCGGUGUAUAUAGCUAACCCUAAAUAAGUUUGCUUUUCUGUGAAUUACAAAGAAGUCCCUCGAACUUCUGGCUUCAGAGUGACACUUCCCUAUGUGAAACUACGGAAAUUGAAGGUCUGACUGAUUAGCCAUCAAUAGAGGUUUAUGGCACUGAUUUUAGCUUUGGUGUUUAUAUAUAUUUCUCCUGCUAACUUUAGUUAUACUGAUGGAAAUUUGAAGAGAUAAAGUUGCUUUUGGUGAAGACUGUGAUUAUAAUAGCAGAAUGGAAUGAAUAUACAGAGAGGAUCAAGAAGGUUGAAAUAUAUACAGUGCUUGAGCAUGCCAUGAAACUGUAAUUCAAGCUUGGCUAAGAGGAGGAUAAGUAAAUGUGGUGAGUGAAGCAGAAGUUGGAGCAUCAGUAGUGAGCCAGUAACCAGCUUCAGUUUCUAUUUCUUGGUUCCUGCCUUCAGCCUUCACCCUCAAUUCCCUUCAUGAGAAUUAAACUAAUCCUCUUUCUUUCCUAGUCACUUUUGAUUAUGGUAUCUAUCAUAGUGACAUAAAGAAAACAAGGUCACCCCCACACUGAAUCAGAAACUCAAUUUCUCAUGGACUUAAUAGUCUGAGGCAAUGCAAGUGUGCUCUAGUUUGGUCAGAACCCUGAGAGUCUAACUAUACCACACCACUCUGUCGGCCACACACCUUAUUACAAACCUAAUCUGAAAUUGCUUUAGCACUCAGGAAACACCAAUGAAGAAUGUGAUUCAAGCCCAAAUUCUUACCUAAGGUCCAGAGUCUGGUCAUCUGCUGUGUCUGCUGAGCAUCUUCUUUGUGGUGUUUCACAGUUUCCACUGAUAGAAGGCAAAUUGUUGUUCUCUUUCAUACUCUUAGUCUCAUUGAUAUAUAAAAAAAUCUAGAAGUGGAUGUGGAAGAAGUUCAAGAACAGCUCUUUGUGGAGUUUGAAAGAAAAACAAUAGGACAGACAAGGUGCAAUAUUGGUAGUUGCCAGGAGAAGGAAGAUGGAGAAGAGGCAGAGAAGAGGAGAGAAAAACAUAUUAUUUGAGAUAGAUUAGAAGUUCAGCAAUGGAGGUUAUCAACCAAUCACAAGUUAGACAAUCAGUCACAUGGGGACAAACAGUGGAGAGAAGAGCAUCAGACCAUGCUUGAGAAAGCCCAGAGUGUCAAGAAAAUCAUGCUUUAGAAUUGAGCAAUGUUUGAAAGAAAAUAAGACAGAAAAUGAGGAAAAGGAAAAGGACAAGUUGUAUUACAGGAAGAAAGCUCUGUAAGUGUCUGUACCAGAGGAGGGGGUUGGGUAGGAUAACAUUCUAUCUCCUUGAGUGUUUAUUUAGUCCUUUCCUUUCCUUAGCCUCUCUUCCGGAAAUUCAGAUUUGCUUAGACCAAGGCAGUAGACUCUGGGACUCAUGAUUGGCCCAUCUGAAUUAAUUUUUAAAAUUUUAUUUUUAUGUUUUUUUUUCUUUUUUUAAUUAGAUAUUCCUUAUUUACAUUUCAAAUGCUAUCCCCUUUUCUAGUUUCCUCUCCGAAAGUCCCCUAUAACCAUCCCCCUGUCCUGCUCCCCAACCUACCCACUCCUGAUUCCUGGCCCUGGCAUACCCCUGUACAGGGGCAUAUGAUCUUCACAAGACCAAGGGCCUCUCCUCCCAUUGACGGCUGACUAGGCCAUCCUCUGCUACAUAUGCAGCUAGAGACAGGAGCUCUGAAAGUAUUGCUGGGGCUCAAAGGUAACCACGAGGUACAUCUAAAAUAGCCUCCAAGGCUAUUGAAAUAGUAGUUUGUACUACUACUGUAGAAGAUGUUCUUGUAGAAUUUGAUUGUAGGAAAAAUGAGGUCUCUAGUUUUGCAAUUUCCAUUAGUGUGUAAUCUUCAUUUGAAAUGUUAUUGAAAUAAUACAAAGAAAUGGCAAUAAUUCCAUGCCAAUGCGCUUGACAAAGAUUACAUAGUAAAUUCUUUAAAAGGCUCUAACAAUUGAAGCUCAGUUUAAAAAAAAAGGUAUACUAUUAUAACUGCUCUAUUGAAGAAAAUCAAUUUUAUUGUUAAAGUAGUCAUCAUGGCCAAUUGGUCUUUGUAUAAGAAGUACAAGGUUACUGUAGCUAUCAAAGUUAAUCAAUGCAAUUUACUAUAUUAGAAAAUAUUGGGGGAAAAUCUUAUUAGACUCAACUGUCAUAAAAGUAUUCAACAAAUCCAAUAUCUAUCUUUUGUGAAAUUCUUCUCACAGUAGCAUAGAAAAUAACUUCUUUGGCUUAAUAAAGGCCACUCACAAAAGACUUAUGAACCUUAUGUUGAGAGACUGAAUUUUUUUCCUCUUUUAGAUAGGAAUAAUAGACAGACCUCCUUUGGUGAAUUCUACUCAACAUUGAAUUGUAAAAUUUUCCUGCAAUAUAAAAAAUAUAAAAAGACUCUUGUUAUGCAAAA